rnacentral:rRNA from 1 species
CCACCACCAAAGCAUUCUCUGGUGUUGAAGGCCCUGCAAAGCAGCAUCGCGGUGGCGGAGCGUCGUUUGCGACGCCCAACACACAAAACAAGCGGUGAGUGCUUUGGGGUGGGGUGACUGCGUACCUUUUGUAUAAUGGGUCAGCGACUUAUAUUCUGUAGCAAGGUUAACCGAAUAGGGGAGCCGGAGGGAAACCGAGUCUUAAUUGGGCGUUAAGUUGCAGGGUAUAGACCCGAAACCCGGUGAUCUAGCCAUGGGCAGGUUGAAGGUUGGGUAACACUAACUGGAGGACCGAACCGACUAAUGUUGAAAAAUUAGCGGAUGACCUGUGGCUGGGGGUGAAAGGCCAAUCAAACCGGGAGAUAGCUGGUUCUCCCCGAAAGCUAUUUAGGUAGCGCCUCGUGAAUUCAUCUCCGGGGGUAGAGCACUGUUUCGGCUAGGGGGCCAUCCCGGCUUACCAACCCGAUGCAAACUGCGAAUACCGGAGAAUGUUAUCACGGGAGACACACGGCGGGUGCUAACGUCCGUCGUGAAGAGGGAAACAACCCAGACCGCCAGCUAAGGUCCCAAAGUCAUGGUUAAGUGGGAAACGAUGUGGGAAGGCCCAGACAGCCAGGAUGUUGGCUUAGAAGCAGCCAUCAUUUAAAGAAAGCGUAAUAGCUCACUGGUCGAGUCGGCCUGCGCGGAAGAUGUAACGGGGCUAAACCAUGCACCGAAGCUGCGGCAGCGACACUCAGGUGUUGUUGGGUAGGGGAGCGUUCUGUAAGCCUGUGAAGGUGGCCUGUGAGGGUUGCUGGAGGU